AAAUUAUUAACUUUUUGUAGACAGUUGAAAGCUCUGCUCGUGAGUUCUUAGGCAAAGAGAACUCAACCACUCUCAUGGCGAGUGUGAAUUUUAUUGAUUUGGCGGGGAGCGAGCGCGCAUCGCAGGCCUUAUCAGCUGGGGCAAGACUUAAGGAGGGUUGUCAUAUCAAUAGAAGUUUGUUGACCCUAGGAACCGUGAUACGUAAA